AUGGUGGCGCGCUUCGCUCCCCGCGUGAAAUCUCCCCGUCUCGGUCGCUCCAUGUGGGCCGAAGCUGCUCCUCUUCGUCCCGAACCACACCCACCGCCCGUCUUCUCCGUGCCGCCACUGCAAGACCUCAACGCUCGGCUGAAGCGCCUGGUCCAGUCGGGCCGGCUACCCGACGCGCAGGCCCUGUUCGACGGAGCGCCGCACCGCGACGAGGCCUCCUACUCUGCCCUGCUCGCGGGCCAUGCUGCGGCGGGGGAUGUCACCGGCGCCAUGGCGCUCUUCUCCCGCAUCCGCGCAUCCUCGCUCCCGGCCGCUGACCCCUUCGUGCUCAGCCUCGCGUUCAAGGCCUGCGCCGCGGCCGCCGACGCCAGCCACGCCGCGUCACUGCACGCCUUCGCCGUCAGGUCCUCGGCCGUCUCCUCCGUCUUCGUCGCCACCGCGCUGGCCGACGCCUACGCCAAGGCCGGCUGCCUCGCGCAAGCGCUCAGGGUGUUCGACGAAAUGCCGCUCAAGAACGUGGUCUCCUGGACCACGCUCAUCUCCGCACUGGCGCGGGCCGGCCGCCGCCACGACGCGGUCCGCCGCUUUGCUGAGAUGCGCGCCUCCAGCAUGCCCUGUGACUCGCAUGCCUUCGCGGCCGCGCUCACCGCGUGCGCUGACACCGGGCUGCUAUCGCGCGGCCGUGAGGUGCACGCGCUCUGCGCCAAGCUCGGCUUCGACGCCACGCCCUACGUCGCCAACACACUCGCCACGCUGUACGCGCGCUGCGGGGACGUCCACCGUGCAAUGGCUGCGGUCGGCCGCAUGGGCUCGCGAGACGUUGCCGCGUGGACGACUGUGAUAUCCUCCUACGCACAGACUGGUCGUGCCAAGGAAGCCAUCCUGGCAUUCGUCGCGAUGCUUCGUGACGGGGCAUCGAAGGCGGCCAGGCCCAACGAAUACACAUACGCUGCAGUUAUUGCUGCGUGUGCAAAUAUUUCGUGUGUAUAUCUUGGAGAGCAGUUGCACGCUCAAGCUGCACAAAGAGGGUUCGCCAGUGCGCGCUCGGUGGCCAAUUCACUCGUCACACUCUAUGCCCGCGCCGCCGGUCGUCUGUCAGCAGCCGAUGCCGUGUUCCGUGAAAGUGCUGCCAAGGAUGUUGUCUCUUGGAGUGCAAUCAUAUCAGGCUAUGCGCAGGAAGGACUUGCCGGGGAGGCUUUCGCCCUGUUUACUGAAAUGCGACGGCACCAUUGUCCUCGUCCGAAUGAGUUUACUCUUGCCAGUCUCCUCAGUGCGUGCGCAACUGCUGCGUCACUGGACGCUGGUCGCCAACUCCAUGCACUUGCUGUCGCUGCUGGACUUGAACACCAUGCCAUGGUCAGGAGUGCGCUCAUUGACAUGUAUGGAAAGAGUGGCAACAUGUCAGAUGCUGAUGUUGUAUUUUCCAAUCGCACGAAAGAUGAUGUGGUUUCAUGGACUGCGAUGAUCGUCGGGAAUGCUGAGCAUGGCCACAGUGAAAGGGCACUUGAAUUGUUUGAGGAAAUGUGCCGUGUUGGGCUAAAGCCGGACCAUGUUGCGUUCAUAGGUGUGCUCAGUGCUUGCUGUCAUGCUGGGGCAGUUGAGCUUGGAUUGAGGUACCUCAAUGCAAUGAGCAAAAGCUAUGGACUGGAGCCCGCAAAGGAGCACUAUGGCUGUGUCGUGGAUUUGUUGGGCAGAGCUGGUAGAAUAGAUGAGGCUGAGGAGUUGAUUGGUGGUAUGGCAGCUAAUGAAAGAGAUGGUGUUGUUUGGACAUCUUUGCUUAGGGCAUGUGCAGCUCGAGGGGAAGAGGAAACCGGAAAGAAAGCUGCAGAGAGGGCAAUGGAGGCAGAGCCAUGGGGUGCAGGAGCACAUGUGGCAAUGGCAAAUCUAUAUGCCAGCAAGGGACAAUGGUGUGAGGCAGCACAAGAGAGACAUAUGAUGAAGCAGAAAGGGGUUGUGAAAGGAGUAGGGUGGUCAUCAGUCACAGUUGGAGGGGAGGAGAGGGGAGUUGGGGUGUUUGUUGCAGGUGACCGUACACAUCCCCAAGACAAUGUGAUCUAUGAGAUGCUUGACUUGAUUUACUAUGGAGUUGGAAUGGCUCGGUAUGUACCCGAUCAGAUGAAUUUAGCAUCUGAGGUGGAGCUAAUGGUUAACACU
rnacentral:rRNA from 1 species